UUGCUUUGGCAGCACACAUACCAAAAUUGGAAUGACACAAAGAAGAUUGGCAUGGCACCUGCCUAAGGAGGACAUGAAAAUUUGUGAAGCACUCUAUAUUUUU